GUAGAGAGGUUGUUUCCGAUAGACCUUCGGCUCAAGAAUACGAAAAGAGACAAUGGAUCAGUAACGGCAACCGAGACCAAAAAGAUAACAACAAGAAGCUAUAUAGUAGGUUAUUAAUCUAUUUUCUAGGUAGAUCAGUAACAACAACAACAACAGAGACCAAAGAUAACAGCAACAAGCUAUAGUUGGUUAUUAAUCUACUUUCUAGGUAGUCAUAUCAGAUUUACUAUGAAGAUUUACCAGUAAAUCAAUUUAAUCCGGUGGUGUAAAUAAUUAAUAAACUGACAGUACAUAAAACAUAAAACUCACAAACACAUAUAUUCAAGAUUCAUCCCUAAGUAAAUGCAUUGUCGGCAAAAAGAGCAAGAACGCAAAAAAGAAAAGUAAAAAUAAAA
rnacentral:lncRNA from 1 species